rnacentral:misc_RNA from 1 species
GAUGAAGAACGUAGCGAAAUGCGAUAAGUAGUGUGAAUUGCAGAAUUCAGUGAAUCAUCGAAUCUUUGAACGCACAUUUCGCCCUUUGGUAUUCCAAAGGGCAUGCCUGUUCGAGCGUCAUUUGUACCCUCAAGCUUUGCUUGGUGUUGGGCGUCUUGUCUCUAGCUUUGCUGGAGACUCGCCUUAAAGUAAUUGGCAGCCGGCCUACUGGUUUCGGAGCGCAGCACAAGUCGCACUCUCUAUCAGCAAAGGUCUAGCAUCCACUAAGCCUUUUUUUCAACUUUUGACCUCGGAUCAGGUAGGGAUACCCGCUGAACUUAAGCAUAUCAAUAAGCGGAGGA